GACGAACGCUGGCGGCGUGCUUAACACAUGCAAGUCGAACGGUGAAGCGCCUUCCUUUUUGGUGGGUGUGGAUGAGUGGCGAACGGGUGAGUAACACGUGAGUAACCUGCCCCCUUCUUCUGGAUAACCGCAUGAAAGUGUGGCUAAUACGGGAUAUUCUGCGUCUGUCGCAUGAUGGGUCUGGGACAGAUAUUGUUUCGGUGGGGGAUGGCUCGCGGCCUAUCAGCUUGUUGGUGGGGUGAUGGCCUACCAAGGCGGUGACGGGUAGCCGGCCUGAGAGGGUGGACGGUCACACUGGGACUGAGACACGGCCCAGACUCCUACGGGAGGCAGCAGUGGGGAAUAUGGCACAGUGGGCGCAAGCCUGAUGCAGCGACGCCGCGGGAGGGAUGGAGGCCUUCGGGUUGUGAACCUCUUUCGCCAGUGAAGCAGGCCUGCCUCGUUUGUGGGUGGGUUGACGGUAGCUGGAUAAGAAGCGCCGGCUAACUACGUG
rnacentral:rRNA from 1 species